UAACUGGAGGAGUAGCCGCUGGCAACGGGGAUUAAUACUGCGUAAUACCUAAAUACCUGGAUGGUAUUAAGUGUCAACUCUACGGAGGUUACAGAUGGGCAUGCUGUGCCAUUAGCUAGAUGUGUAAUGUAACGGCUUACCAUGUCAAUGAUGUGCUAGGGGUUCUGCAAUGAAGGACCCCCACAUUGGUACUGAGACACGGACCAGAGUCGUACGGUAGGCAGCAGUGAGGAAUAUUGGUCAAUGGAGUGCAACUCUGAUACAACCAAGGCGCGUGACGGAAGACUGUCCUAUGGAUUGUUAACUUCUUUUGUGGCGGAAUAAACUACCGUACUUGUACGGUAUUGCAUGUAUGCCAUGAAUAAGCAUCGGCUAACUCCGUGCCAGCAGCCUGUGUAAUACGGAGGAUGCAGGCGUUAUCCGGAUUUAUUAGGUUUAAAGGGUGUUCAGGCUGCCUGGUAAGUCAGGGCGUGAAAGUCGGUUGCUCAAACGAUCGAAUUGCCUUUGAAACUGUCAGGCUCGAGUAUGGAUGCGGUAGGCGGAAUGU
rnacentral:rRNA from 1 species